GGGACAGUAGCAGGCAGGCGGUUAUGAAGCAGACGAGGAGUCGUGAGGCCACAGGAGUGACGUUCCGCUGAUCUACAUGGAGUUUAAUAGGAUUGCUGGUAAGAACUUGAAAAGGUAAUUUUACGAGACCCUUGACCAACAUAGUACAUGCCUCUUGGACAUUUUCAGAGCCAAAAAGGGAGUUGCUGGUCAGCUCUUGAUGAACCUUCUGAAGCAAACAAAGCUAUCAGAGCCAACAGAAGUCCGAACCUCUGGUGCUUCAAGGACUACCCCUUUGGUUUGGAGAUGACUCUACUGCUUUCUUUAAGAUAUGUUUGAUGUCUGAUGAUCACAGCUCAAUUCUUGAUGUGCCAGUGGGGAUUGUGAUAGUUGAAGAUGGGGACGACUCUUAAGCCCCUCAACUCUCUGCAUUCGUCUCCCUCUUCGAUUGGAAUAGUAAUCGAGGGAAAAUUAGUGAUGGACAAUCUACAUGACCUUCCUGAAGCAAUGUGCCUUCUGUUUGGACUAAUUUAUGCAUUGCACCUGAGUUACCCAAAGUCGCUGAGAUACACGUUUGACUUCAUUCAGCGCAUUCUACUUUCCUUGGGGCAGAAAGACCUGCAGCCUAAAACACAGUCUUUGGCAAACCAGCUGUUUGGUUAAAAUGGAGAAAUUGCUUGGCGCACUUUUAAUAGCAACAGAUUUACAUUACACAUGGUCUUUUGAAAAUGAGACUGUUAAAAAUACGAGUUUACUGUUUUACUC